UGCAAGUCGAGCGGAGUGAUGGUGCUUGCACUAUCACUUAGCGGCGGACGGGUGAGUAAUGCUUAGGAAUCUGCCUAUUAGUGGGGGACAACAUUUCGAAAGGAAUGCUAAUACCGCAUACGUCCUACGGGAGAAAGCAGGGGAUCUUCGGACCUUGCGCUAAUAGAUGAGCCUAAGUCGGAUUAGCUAGUUGGUGGGGUAAAGGCCUACCAAGGCGACGAUCUGUAGCGGGUCUGAGAGGAUGAUCCGCCACACUGGGACUGAGACACGGCCCAGACUCCUACGGGAGGCAGCAGUGGGGAAUAUUGGACAAUGGGCGCAAGCCUGAUCCAGCCAUGCCGCGUGUGUGAAGAAGGCCUUAUGGUUGUAAAGCACUUUAAGCGAGGAGGAGGCUACUGAAGUUAAUACCUUCAGAUAGUGGACGUUACUCGCAGAAUAAGCACCGGCUAACUCUGUGCCAGCAGCCGCGGUAAUACAGAGGGUGCAAGCGUUAAUCGGAUUUACUGGGCGUAAAGCGCGCGUAGGCGGCUAAUUAAGUCAAAUGUGAAAUCCCCGAGCUUAACUUGGGAAUUGCAUUCGAUACUGGUUAGCUAGAGUGUGGGAGAGGAUGGUAGAAUUCCAGGUGUAGCGGUGAAAUGCGUAGAGAUCUGGAGGAAUACCGAUGGCGAAGGCAGCCAUCUGGCCUAACACUGACGCUGAGGUGCGAAAGCAUGGGGAGCAAACAGGAUUAGAUACCCUGGUAGUCCAUGCCGUAAACGAUGUCUACUAGCCGUUGGGGCCUUUGAGGCUUUAGUGGCGCAGCUAACGCGAUAAGUAGACCGCCUGGGGAGUACGGUCGCAAGACUAAAACUCAAAUGAAUUGACGGGGGCCCGCACAAGCGGUGGAGCAUGUGGUUUAAUUCGAUGCAACGCGAAGAACCUUACCUGGCCUUGACAUAGUAAGAACUUUCCAGAGAUGGAUUGGUGCCUUCGGGAACUUACAUACAGGUGCUGCAUGGCUGUCGUCAGCUCGUGUCGUGAGAUGUUGGGUUAAGUCCCGCAACGAGCGCAACCCUUUUCCUUAUUUGCCAGCGAGUAAUGUCGGGAACUUUAAGGAUACUGCCAGUGACAAACUGGAAGAAGGCGGGGAACGACGUCAAGUCAUCAUGGCCCUUACGGCCAGGGCUACACACGUGCUACAAUGGUCGGUACAAAGGGUUGCUACCUAGCGAUAGGAUGCUAAUCUCAAAAAGCCGAUC
rnacentral:rRNA from 1 species